rnacentral:rRNA from 1 species
UGGGGAAUAUUGGACAAUGGGCGCAAGCCUGCUCCAGCCACGCCGCGUGAGUGAUGAAGGCCCUAGGGUUGUAAAGCUCUUUCACCGGUGAAGAUAAUGACGGUAACCUGAGAAGAAGCCCCGGCUAACUUCGUGCCAGCAGCCGCGGUAAUACGAAGGGGGCUAGCGUUGUUCGGAUUUACUGGGCGUAAAGCGCACGUAGGCGGACUAUUAAGUCAGGGGUGAAAUCCCGGGGCUCAACCCGGGAACUGCCUUAGAUACUGGUAGUCUUGAGUUCGAGAGAGGUGAGUGGAAGUCCGAGGGUAGAGGUGAGAUUCGUAGAUAGUCGGAGGAACACCAGUGGCGAAGGCGGCUCACUGGCGCGAUACUGACGCUGAGGUGCGAAAGCGUGGGGAGCAAACAGG